rnacentral:rRNA from 1 species
AUGCACGCUGGCGGCGUGCCUCAUACAUGCAAGUCGAGCGAACAGACGAGGAGCUUGCUCCUUCGACGUUAGCGGCGGACGGGUGAGUAACACGUAGGUAACCUACCUAUAAGACUGGGAUAACUUCGGGAAACCGGAGCUAAUACCGGAUAAUAUUUCGAACCGCAUGGUUCGAUAGUGAAAGAUGGCUUUGCUAUCACUUAUAGAUGGACCUGCGCCGUAUUAGCUAGUUGGUAAGGUAACGGCUUACCAAGGCAACGAUACGUAGCCGACCUGAGAGGGUGAUCGGCCACACUGGAACUGAGACACGGUCCAGACUCCUACGGGAGGCAGCAGUAGGGAAUCUUCCGCAAUGGGCGAAAGCCUGACGGAGCAACGCCGCGUGAGUGAUGAAGGUCUUCGGAUCGUAAAACUCUGUUAUUAGGGAAGAACAAACGUGUAAGUAACUGUGCACGUCUUGACGGUACCUAAUCAGAAAGCCACGGCUAACUACGUG